rnacentral:lncRNA from 1 species
CUCCCUGUCCCCAGGUCUCAGCAAUCCACAGAACUCUGCCUCCUAUCCUUCCUUCCACCUGUCAUCUUUGCUUCUGAGAUAAGAACCAUUUGUGUAACACCAAUACCUAACUUAAGACAGACAUGCAUUGCGUGGUUGUAAUCAAAGCUGAUGCUUUCAGAUGAUCUAAUCCAUCUCCAAUGCGGAAAAGACAGAACAGGCACGUCCAUCCACACUGCUGGGCGCCCAGCUGACUCUGUAAGAAUGGAAUUCCAAACACUUAACACAUUCAGUUCUAUGACAGAAAGUGAGUCUAUGGAUAUGGUAUUUUGUGAAUGAUCUUUUAAAUAAAAGAGAACCUUAC